rnacentral:rRNA from 1 species
UACGAAGGGGGCUAGCGUUGCUCGGAAUUACUGGGCGUAAAGCGCACGUAGGCGGCAUGUUAAGUCAGGGGUGAAAUCCCGGGGCUCAACCCCGGAACUGCCUUUGAUACUGGCAUUCUCGAGUCCGGAAGAGGUGAGUGGAAUUCCGAGUGUAGAGGUGAAAUUCGUAGAUAUUCGGAGGAACACCAGUGGCGAAGGCGGCUCACUGGUCCGGUACUGACGCUGAGGUGCGAAAGCGUGGGGAGCAAACAGG